UACGGAGGGUGCAAGCGUUAUCCGGAUUCACUGGGUUUAAAGGGUGCGUAGGUGGGCAGUUAAGUCAGUGGUGAAAUCUCCGGGCUCAACCCGGAAACUGCCAUUGAUACUAUCUGUCUUGAAUAUCGUGGAGGUAAGCGGAAUAUGUCAUGUAGCGGUGAAAUGCUUAGAUAUGACAUAGAACGCCAAUUGCGAAGGCAGCUUACUACCCGAAUAUUGACACUGAGGCACGAAAGCGUGGGGAUCAAACAGG
rnacentral:rRNA from 1 species